ACGGAUACGGAGGGAUUGCAUGUGAGCGAGUAACUCCUCUUACUGGUAGAACUGCUAAACAAUGGUUGGGCACAAUGUCCGGAGUUUUAGUAGCAGGAUUUUGUGUGUUUGUGCUCCUGGCUGUUGUUAAAAAAGAUGAAAAAUUUAAAAAAGAAAUUUUGGAUCCAACUAAAAAGAUGCUAUUCCAUAGCUAGUAAAUCUCAAUUUUUAUCAAUUCCCUAGUAUUUUUUAAGUGACUUGUAAUCUAAUUUGCUAAAACUUAUAUUUCUAUAACUUCCUUGUCAUUUCAAGAAAGAUUUCAUCAGCAGAGACAAGGAAGAAAGAUGACAAUUUCCAUAUAAUAACUCAUUAAGAAGAUUCACUUAAAGUCGUGUAGAUAAUCACUGAAAAUAAGUUUGUAACACUGCAGAGUAAAUAUACCUCACUUGUUUAUAGCUGAAUUAGUAAAUUUCAAUCACAGUCUGUAUUUAACCAUAUUUAUUGUGAUUUAGUUAAUAUUCUGUAUAACAGUAUGUAAUUAUGUAUUAAAGAACUCAUAGGAAUUCUAGCAAAAUAUAUGUGUAACUACAGGGUUACCCACAAAGGAAUAUGAUAAGCCUAAAAAGACGACCCAAAACUUUGAAUAUGACCAUCUGAAUUGAACUAUCUUUAUUAAAGUCUUUUUAUUGAUUAACUUAAAAGGGUUAGGAGAUAAAAAAGCUUCUUUUAAAAUGUAGAAAAGCAUGGGUGUAAGAAAAAAACUCAAAAAAUUCUGAGUAGUUGUCUCUGCAGUCUAAUUCUUUGUGGGUUACCUUUCCUACAAAAAAAAUAAAUGUUGUUUUCAUUUCUUUAAACAGAAAUCUAAAGAUUUCGCGAAUUUUUUCUGUUUUCUUCAAAAUGUUAAGAAUCGACAUUUUUAUGAUAUUAAUUCUUCUGGAACUGUAGUUUAAAGUGAGCCUCUAUGCAAAGAUAGCAAUACCCGUCUUACAACGGUAUCCUUGAAACCUUAAUCUGAUCAAAAAUGUGGAAAAUCCCGUUGUUUGCCUGACUCGUAAAGAAUAAAUUUUGAUAACUUG